rnacentral:tRNA from 1 species
GAUUUCUUAACUUAUAUAAAAGUAUAUACUUUGAAAGUAUAAAAAAGAAAUAUUCUAGAAAUCU